rnacentral:rRNA from 1 species
AGCGAACGCUGGCGGCAGGCUUAACACAUGCAAGUCGAGCGCCCAGCAAUGGGAGCGGCGGACGGGUGAGUAACACGUGGGAAUAUGCCUUUCGGUACGGAACAACUCAGGGAAACUUGAGCUAAUGCCGUAUGCGCCCUUACGGGGAAAGAUUUAUCGCCGAAAGAUUAGCCCGCGUCUGAUUAGCUAGUUGGUGAGGUAAUGGCUCACCAAGGCGACGAUCAGUAGCUGGUUUGAGAGAACGACCAGCCACACUGGGACUGAGACACGGCCCAGACUCCUACGGGAGGCAGCAGUGGGGAAUCUUGGACAAUGGAGGAAACUCUGAUCCAGCCAUGCCGCGUGAGUGAUGAAGGCCUUCGGGUUGUAAAACUCUUUCGGCGGGGACGAUAAUGACGGUACCCGCAGAAGAAGCUCCGGCUAACUUCGUGCCAGCCGCCGCGGUAAAAC